rnacentral:misc_RNA from 1 species
ACACAAGGGAAUUAUGCUUAAAUUUGUGAAAAAGCUUUGGCAGUUUGAGAUGGUUACAAUUUAGUUUCAGAGAUGGCUAUGUAACUCUCUGAUGUAUUAUCAAGAUGGAAAACUUGGAUAGCUGCAGCAUGUUUGGCAUUGUUGUCACUAAUAACAACUUCAGACAAUUUUAGAAGGAAUUGUUGUUGUUAAUAGACAAUAGAUUUUGACGAUUUGAUUUUCA